GAAUUCUAGAAGGUCCUACUGCAGUGCAAGAGGCAUUACUGCAGGUAUAAAAUCAAAGGCCCUUUCCUCAAGAGUAAUUCCAGCUGGAAAAGGACAGCCUUCCUCAAUAUCUCCUACCCAGAGGUUCCACCCUGUGCUUCCCAUGCCCUGUCCAUGCCCGGCCUGCCCAAAGCACAGCCACCCCAGAACACAAGGUGGCCGCUGCAGGAUCACUUUAAAUGAGAGGAAUCAGAAUCUUUGGAUCACCACAGAUGCCCCACAGGAAGCCCAGGAUCUCUGUAUCAUAAAGAAUUCAGAAUUGACAGUUUACAGUCUACAGAGAAGAGUGAAUAUUGUUACAAAGUUGGAACCAUGCACCAAAUGCUAACAUUAGCCUUGAAACUCAGUGUCAAAAGAACAAGACAACAACAAAAUUCAAACAAAGCUGAUUAGGAAUUUGACUAAGCAGUUUCAAAUUAAAUAGAGGAAGCAGAAGUGGAGAAAAUGGUCCUAUUUACGAGAAAGUUGAUUAGAAACUAAAUAUGGAACGCAGAUUAAAGUAGUCACUAACAAAUUUAGCAGUGGAUUCUAAAUACAGGCUCACAGUCUCAGAGGGAAACUGAAAAGCUAUUAAAUUAACUUAAGGCAAGUUUUAUGGUGUAAAUUAUUGAGUUUAUA
rnacentral:lncRNA from 1 species